rnacentral:rRNA from 1 species
UGCCAGCCGCCGCGGUAACACGGGGGGCGCAAGCGUUAUUCGGAAUUAUUGGGCGUAAAGGGCGCGCAGGCGGUCUUGUCCGUCAGAUGUGAAAUCCCGGGGCUCAACCCCGGCAGUGCAUUUGAAACCCCGGAACUUGAGUAUGGGAGAGGGAAGUGGAAUUCCAGGUGUAGAGGUGAAAUUCGUAGAUAUCUGGAGGAACACCGGUGGCGAAGGCGACUUCCUGGACCAAUACUGACGCUGAGGUGCGAAGGCGUGGGGAGCAAACAGGAUUAGAUA